rnacentral:lncRNA from 1 species
GAAGAAAAGAGGCGUCCUCCCGUCACUCUCUGGAAGCUGGAUACAUAUGUGACGCGGAAAGUGAUCUGGACGAGAGGGUCUCCGAUGAUGACCUCGACCCAUCCUUUACUGUCUCAACCAGCAAAGCCUCGGGCCCCCACGGCGCCUUCAAUGGGAACUGUGAAGCAAAACUCUCCGUGGUCCCUAAAGUGUCGGGCCUGGAGCGGAGCCAAGAACAGCCCCCGGGGCCCGACCCGCUGCUAGUGCCUUUCCCCCCAAAGGAACCACCGCCUCCACCGGUCCCUCGGCCUCCUGUCUCACCCCCUGCACCCCUGCCGGCCACUCCCAGUCUGCCACCCCCACCCCAGCCCCAGCUGCAGCUUCGGGUCUCACCCUUCGGCCUCCGCACUUCUCCAUAUGGCAGCAGCCUGGACCUCAGCACUGGCAGCUCUUCACGGCCGCCCCCCAAGGCCCCGGCCCCUCCCGUGGCUCAGCCUCCCCCCUCAUCAUCCUCUUC